GAAUCCAAUGGAACUUUGAAUGAUUCUGAGUGGGGUGUAGUAGCAGAUUCGAGUCCCGUGGAGAUACAAAUACAGAAUUUAUCUACCCCACCUUCAAAUACUCUUCUGUGGGAUUUCUGCUGAAUAAACAGCUACAUGGAAACUUAAGAGCUAGUCUGGAAAACGAGAUCUCAUAAGGGGAAAAAAGGUGACCAAAAUGGAUGAGAAGAUGAAGGAUGUC